UACGUAGGGGGCUAGCGUUAUCCGGAAUUACUGGGCGUAAAGGGUGCGUAGGUGGUUUCUUAAGUCAGAGGUGAAAGGCUACGGCUCAACCGUAGUAAGCCUUUGAAACUGGGAAACUUGAGUGCAGGAGAGGAGAGUGGAAUUCCUAGUGUAGCGGUGAAAUGCGUAGAUAUUAGGAGGAACACCAGUUGCGAAGGCGGCUCUCUGGACUGUAACUGACGCUGAGGCACGAAAGCGUGGGGAGCAAACAGGAUUAGAUACCCGCGUAGUCCCUGAGCGGG
rnacentral:rRNA from 1 species